rnacentral:rRNA from 1 species
AAAACUCUAAGCGGUGGAUCACUCGGCUCAUGGGUCGAUGAAGAACGCAGCAAACUGUGCGUCAUCGUGUGAACUGCAGGACACAUGAACAUCGACAUUUUGAACGCAUAUCGCAGUCCAUGCUGUUAUGUACUUUAAUUAAUUUUAUAGUGCUGCUUGGACUACAUAUGGUUGAGGGUUGUAAGACUAUGCUAAUUAAGUUGCUUAUAAAUUUUUAUAAGCAUAUGGUAUAUUAUUGGAUAAAUAUAAUAAUUUUUAUUCAUAAUAUUAAAAAAUAAAUGAAAAACAUUAUCUCACAUUUGAAUGUGAAAAACGAAGAGAAAUAUUUUCUUUUUCAAUCAAAUAAUACUGAGAAAUGUCUAGCAUAAAAAAUUGAAAUAUUUUUCAUCUAGAAUUGUCUCUUAUUAAUGAUUCGGAAAUAGAAAAAUCUUGGUUAUGUUAUUAUUCUUCGUUGGUUCGUUAAAAAUGGAUAAAUAAAAACUUUGCAUACAAGAAUUAAUAAAAAUGUUAUAACGAAUUUAAUUAAAUGUUUUAUCAUUAUAUAUAAAGAAUUUAUGGCAAGAUAAAGUUAUAUACAACCUCAACUCAUAUGGGACUACCCCCUGAAUUUAAGCAUAUUAAUUAGGGGAGGAAAAGAAACUAACAAGGAUUUUCUUAGUAGCGGCGAGCGAAAAGAAAACAGUUCAGCACUAAGUCACUUUGUCUAUAUGGCAAAUGUGAGAUGCAGUGUAUGGAGCGUCAAUAUUCUAGUAUGAGAAAUUAACGAUUUAAGUCCUUCUUAAAUGAGGCCAUUUACCCAUAGAGGGUGCCAGGCCCGUAUAACGUUAAUGAUUACUAGAUGAUGUUUCCAAAGAGUCGUGUUGCUUGAUAGUGCAGCACUAAGUGGGUGGUAAACUCCAUCUAAAACUAAAUAUAACCAUGAGACCGAUAGUAAACAAGUACCGUGAGGGAAAGUUGAAAAGAACUCUGAAUAGAGAGUUAAACAGUACGUGAAACUGCUUAGAGGUUAAGCCCGAUGAACCUGAAUAUCCGUUAUGGAAAAUUCAUCAUUAAAAUUGUAAUAUUUAAAUAAUAUUAUGAGAAUAGUGUGCAUUUUUUCCAUAUAAGGACAUUGUAAUCUAUUAGCAUAUACCAAAUUUAUCAUAAAAUAUAACUUAUAGUUUAUUCCAAUUAAAUUGCUUGCAUUUUAACACAGAAUAAAUGUUAUUAAUUUGAUAAAGUGCUGAUAGAUUUAUAUGAUUACAGUGCGUUAAUUUUUCGGAAUUAUAUAAUGGCAUAAUUAUCAUUGAUUUUUGUGUUUAUUAUAUGCACUUGUAUGAUUAACAAUGCGAAAGAUUCAGGAUACCUUCGGGACCCGUCUUGAAACACGGACCAAGGAGUCUAACAUAUGUGCAAGUUAUUGGGAUAUAAACCUAAUAGCGUAAUUAACUUGACUAAUAAUGGGAUUAGUUUUUUAGCUAUUUAUAGCUAAUUAACACAAUCCCGGGGCGUUCUAUAUAGUUAUGUAUAAUGUAUAUUUAUAUUAUUUAUGCCUCUAACUGGAACGUACCUUGAGCAUAUAUGCUGUGACCCGAAAGAUGGUGAACUAUACUUGAUCAGGUUGAAGUCAGGGGAAACCCUGAUGGAAGACCGAAACAGUUCUGACGUGCAAAUCGAUUGUCAGAAUUGAGUAUAGGGGCGAAAGACCAAUCGAACCAUCUAGUAGCUGGUUCCUUCCGAAGUUUCCCUCAGGAUAGCUGGUGCAUUUUAAUAUUAUAUAAAAUAAUCUUAUCUGGUAAAGCGAAUGAUUAGAGGCCUUAGGGUCGAAACGAUCUUAACCUAUUCUCAAACUUUAAAUGGGUAAGAACCUUAACUUUCUUGAUAUGAAGUUCAAGGUUAUGAUAUAAUGUGCCCAGUGGGCCACUUUUGGUAAGCAGAACUGGCGCUGUGGGAUGAACCAAACGUAAUGUUACGGUGCCCAAAUUAACAACUCAUGCAGAUACCAUGAAAGGCGUUGGUUGCUUAAAACAGCAGGACGGUGAUCAUGGAAGUCGAAAUCCGCUAAGGAGUGUGUAACAACUCACCUGCCGAAGCAACUAGCCCUUAAAAUGGAUGGCGCUUAAGUUGUAUACCUAUACAUUACCGCUAAAGUAGAUGAUUUAUAUUACUUGUGAUAUAAAUUUUGAAACUUUAGUGAGUAGGAAGGUACAAUGGUAUGCGUAGAAGUGUUUGGCGUAAGCCUGCAUGGAGCUGCCAUUGGUACAGAUCUUGGUGGUAGUAGCAAAUAAUCGAAUGAGACCUUGGAGGACUGAAGUGGAGAAGGGUUUCGUGUGAACAGUGGUUGAUCACGAGUUAGUCGGUCCUAAGUUCAAGGCGAAAGCCGAAAAUUUUCAAGUAAAACAAAAAUGCCUAACUAUAUAAACAAAGCGAAUUAUAAUACACUUGAAUAAUUUUGAACGAAAGGGAAUACGGUUCCAAUUCCGUAACCUGUUGAGUAUCCGUUUGUUAUUAAAUAUGGGCCUCGUGCUCAUCCUGGCAACAGGAACGACCAUAAAGAAGCCGUCGAGAGAUAUCGGAAGAGUUUUCUUUUCUGUUUUAUAGCCGUACUACCAUGGAAGUCUUUCGCAGAGAGAUAUGGUAGAUGGGCUAGAAGAGCAUGACAUAUACUGUUGUGUCGAUAUUUUCUCCUCGGACCUUGAAAAUUUAUGGUGGGGACACGCAAACUUCUCAACAGGCCGUACCAAUAUCCGCAGCUGGUCUCCAAGGUGAAGAGUCUCUAGUCGAUAGAAUAAUGUAGGUAAGGGAAGUCGGCAAAUUAGAUCCGUAACUUCGGGAUAAGGAUUGGCUCUGAAGAUUGAGAUAGUCGGGCUUGAUUGGGAAACAAUAACAUGGUUUAUGUGCUCGUUCUGGGUAAAUAGAGUUUCUAGCAUUUAUGUUAGUUACUUGUUCCCCGGAUAGUUUAGUUACGUAGCCAAUUGUGGAACUUUCUUGCUAAAAUUUUUAAGAAUACUAUUUGGGUUAAACCAAUUAGUUCUUAUUAAUUAUAACGAUUAUCAAUUAACAAUCAAUUCAGAACU